rnacentral:rRNA from 1 species
AUUGAACGCUGGCGGCAUGCUUUACACAUGCAAGUCGAACGGUAACAGGCCGCAAGGUGCUGACGAGUGGCGAACGGGUGAGUAAUGCAUCGGAACGUGCCCAGUCGUGGGGGAUAACGCAGCGAAAGCUGUGCUAAUACCGCAUACGAUCUAUGGAUGAAAGCGGGGGACCGUAAGGCCUCGCGCGAUUGGAGCGGCCGAUGGAAGAUUAGGUAGUUGGUGGGGUAAAGGCUCACCAAGCCAACGAGCUGUAGCUGGUCUGAGAGGACGACCAGCCACACUGGGACUGAGACACGGCCCAGACUCCUACGGGAGGCAGCAGUGGGGAAUUUUGGACAAUGGGCGCAAGCCUGAUCCAGCAAUGCCGCGUGCAGGAAGAAGGCCUUCGGGUUGUAAACUGCUUUUGUACGGAACGAAAAAGUCUGGGUUAAUAGCCUGGGCUGAUGACGGUACCGUAAGAAUAAGCAACGGCUAACUACGUGCCAGCAGCCGCCGCUGUAA